rnacentral:rRNA from 1 species
AUGGACGCAAGUCUGAUGGAGCAACGCCGCGUGAGUGAAGAAGGGUUUCGGCUCGUAAAGCUCUGUUGGUAGUGAAGAAAGAUAGAGGCAGUAACUGGCCUUUAUUUGACGGUAAUUACUUAGAAAGUCACGGCUAACUACGUGCCAGCAGCCGCGGUAAUACGUAGGUGGCAAGCGUUGUCCGGAUUUAUUGGGCGUAAAGCGAGUGCAGGCGGUUCAAUAAGUCUGAUGUGAAAGCCUUCGGCUCAACCGGAGAAUUGCAUCAGAAACUGUUGAACUUGAGUGCAGAAGAGGAGAGUGGAACUCCAUGUGUAGCGGUGGAAUGCGUAGAUAUACGGAAGAACACCAGUGGCGAAGGCGGCUCUCUGGUCUGCAACUGACGCUGAGGCUCGAAAGCAUGGGUAGCGAACAGGAUUAGAUACCCUGGUAGUCCAUGCCGUAAACGAUGAGUGCUAAGUGUUGGGAGGUUUCCGCCUCUCAGUGCUGCAGCUAACGCAUUAAGCACUCCGCCUGGGGAGUACGACCGCAAGGUUGAAACUCAAAGGAAUUGACGGAGGCCCGCACAAGCGGUGGAGCAUGUGGUUUAAUUCGAAGCAACGCGAAGAACCUUACCAGGUCU